GUUUUUAUUGAAUGCUAACUUAAAAAUGCUAAGUUUAUAAAUUUACUUAUAAAAUCAAGUUUACUGCUUAAUUUUUACAUCUGUGUAUAUCCAUGUAACCAUGAUAUACAUCAAAAUCUAUAACAUUUCUAUCAUUCCAGAGGGUUCAGUUGUGCCAUUUAUUAAUCAAACCUAACUGAGAUCUGCUCUCUGGGCACAAUAAGACCAGAUAUGCACACUGAGGUUUGCAGCAGGAAGAAGGAGGGUAUUUAUUUGCAGAGCUCCAAGCAAGAAAGACCAGGCACCUACUCUUAAAUUCUGACCUCUUAAUCGCUUUCAGUGAUGGAAGAAUUGAACACGGAUAAAAUCCCCUGCUUGAGUUUUUACAACCUUGUGGAUGGUGACCAAUGGCUUGACCAUAUGGCCAGACAGAGAGAAAUGGAAAAGUGCCUAUUAAAGACAUACCCUUUAAAUCGUGGUGAUAGGAAAAUCACCAAGGGAAUCAGGAGGAGUAAGUUGGUACUCCAUUAAGUUAUAUCUGAUGCCUCAAAGGGUGAAACCAUCUAUUGCUGAUACCACUCCUGCUAUUGGAACUAGGUGGGAUCAAAUGGAAGCCUGCAAACUGGAGCGGCCUCAUCCCAGGAGACAUUUUCAUGCAAUAUGAUAAAAGACUGAACUAAUUGUUAAGGACUGAAUGGGGCUCUAGCAAAGUACCAGCAUUUUUUGACGUUUUAUUUUUCAAGUUACAGCUACCAUAAUGUAAUCAGGUCCUACACUUGCAUUGUUGGUAAAAAUUACAAUGCCAAUAUCUAUAGUCAAAUGAAUUGGAAAAAUGAGUUAAAAGCCUCCUAUUCCUAUACCACACUCCUUACUCAAAAUGUUGCUCAGACAGGUGAUCCUUUUACUAAAAGGAAUCCAUGGUCAAAGACCAAGGGGUAACCUGUGAUGUAACAAAAAUACGUAUAUAUUUGGUCCUUGUCCUGGUUGCUGGUACAGAGCUUCUAAAACCCUUGGAGAUUCUUGAGUGGUAGGACUGUCUUUUGUUAUCUAUAAAGAGACCCUUUUACCAUACCUGAGUUUAUGCUAAUGAGGUGAUUCAUAGUGGGGCCCUAGAUAACUUUAGAAUGGGGGCUGCUCACCAGAGAAACCAACUCUGUGAAUGAAGGGUUAGAACUUUAGCCCUACCUCCCACCCUGACUUCCAGAGAGAGGAGAGGCACUAGAGGUUGUAUUUAAUCACUGAUGGACAAUCAUUAAUCAGUCAGAUCUAUAUGAUGAGAUUUCACAUUAAAAACUCCAAGCAGUGGGGUUUAGGGAAUUUUUAGGUUGAUGAACACAUGGAUGUGCUGGGAGGGUGGCAUGCCACAGAGGGCAUGGAAACUUGUACACCUUUCCCCCUUCCUUGCCUUAUGUACCUCUUCAAUUGGCUGUUCCCUUCUAUCCUUUAUAAUAAAGUGUAAUCACAAGUAUACAGAGCACCCUUGACCUAACUAACUCCGUCUUAGAAAAAGACUCCACUUGAUAUUUCACAGGAUACUUUGGCAAUAAGAAUAAGAUGUUUUGUUUAAUACAAAUUAAAGAAAUAAAGACUGCAUACAACCACAUAAAUACACAAACAAGCACUCUUCUACUAUCUUUUCUCAUCAGAGGACUCUGUGACUAUAAAAGAUUAGGCCUUCAGCAGCUCAAAAUGGCCAACUUAGAUGAUACCAUCUUGGAGUCAAAAACUCUUCCUUGCAAGACCAACAGACCACCCAGACCACUUGGCCCGGAUCAGGACUCUGUCUUCUUCACUUUCCCUGGACUGGUUCAUUAACCCUUUCUCCUAUCUGACAAAGCAGGAGCAUCAUUAUCUUGGACAAGCCCCUCAUUCUAAAGUUCACCUAAUAAAAAACCACCUAAAUCCAUAGGGCAUCAGCCUAAUGGCUAAGGUCAGAAUGACCAUAAACCACAAAUAACAUCUCCGACCAGAUACAUUCCAAACUCCUCCUCGACCAAAGACAUGCUAUCUAUCCCCUAGAUAAUCUCCCUCUGGCCAAGUAGAUGCCAGCCUCAAGAUAACCACCCCCCAGGUCAAAAAGAUGUCUGCCCCAACCAAGAUAACCUCCUCUCCUCCUGGGAGAUUCCAACUCCACCAUAAACUUCUCCACACACAUAAGCAUUCCAAGCUUAUUAUAAGCCCUUUCACCCUAAAACCAAUAUAUACUUUUAGCCUGUAAGAGAAAGUACUUCUGACCACAAUCAGCCAGCAGUGCCUCUCAGGUUUUAACUAAAGAAAACCUGUCUUUGACUGCCAAGCCAUGUUUUAUGUUUCUUUCCUCCUUAACUCUUAUAUUUGGUGCCAAAACCCGGGACAGGUGCUGGGGGCAAAGGCUCUCCUGUAACCCAGAAAGCAGUGGCAGCUCAUCCUGAGUUAAUUUCUGAAUCCUAAGGGUCUCUGGCCACCUGCCUCAUCUUUUCUCUCACUUCACUUUUCCCUCAUCCUUCCUUUUUUCCCUCUCUCUCUUCCUUGUGCAGCUGCAGUCCAAAAGGUCCUUUCCAAUUCCAACCAGAACAUCCAUUGGACACGAAUCCAGCUGACUGGUAAGAUCUACUCACCCCCUUCUUUCCCCUCUGGCUUUCUCAUGGUACCCAGGAAAAGUCAGGUGAGCAGUCUCAGUCCUCAGAGGACCAGGGGGACUAAGAUAGAGGAAAUCUUGGGGAUGUCCAGUUUCUUCUCAGCUUGACCAUCUUCUUUAGAAAGAGGAUUCUGGAUCUUUGUCUUCUGUCUGGGGACACCUAGAACAGAAAAAGACACCCUUGGCUUCUUCUCACCAGUCCACAUGGGUGCCAAACAAUUCCCACAUUCGUAAGCCCUCUCCACUGUGCUGUCUCCUUCACAAACUCACCAAACCUGGCUUAAGCAUUUAGUCAUUUACUGUAAGGGUCCUGGCCCCAAUACACAUUAGAUAAUGACAGCUGAUGGCCUGAAAAUAGCCUCUUUGACUUGCAAGUUCUCAGGAACCUUAACAACUUUAUAACCAGGAAAGGUAAAUGGCAAGAUGUUCUCCAUAUUCAGGCUUUCUUCUAUUUCUACCUUAAAUCCCAACCCUCCCUGUAAAAACUUACACCUCUGAUAAAAUCUGUCUUCUUAA